rnacentral:rRNA from 1 species
AGUGAACGCUGGCGGUAGGCCUAACACAUGCAAGUCGAACGGCAGCACAGUAAGAGCUUGCUCUUACGGGUGGCGAGUGGCGGACGGGUGAGGAAUACAUCGGAAUCUACUUUUUCGUGGGGGAUAACGUAGGGAAACUUACGCUAAUACCGCAUACGACCUACGGGUGAAAGCAGGGGAUCUUCGGACCUUGCGCGAUUGAAUGAGCCGAUGUCGGAUUAGCUAGUUGGCGGGGUAAAGGCCCACCAAGGCGACGAUCCGUAGCUGGUCUGAGAGGAUGAUCGGCCACACUGGAACUGAGACACGGUCCAGACUCCUACGGGAGGCAGCAGUGGGGAAUAUUGGACAAAGGGCGCAAGCCUGAUCCAGCCAUACCGCGUGAGUGAAGAAGGCCUUCGGGUUGUAAAGCCCUUUUGUUAGGAAAGAAAAGCAGCAGGUUAAUACCCCGCUGUUCUGACGGUACCCAAAGAAUAAGCACCGGCUAACUUCGUG